CACCCUUUUAAGAUAGUCCAGAGAGGCUGGCAAAGGGAAAGGAUACACGGAAUCGGUUCAUGGGGACGUAUAAGCGGGCCAAGUGAACCACGCUAAGUAGGCUAUUCUUUGUGUAUACACCUAACUCUUUGCCAAUUUGGUAAAGAGUUUUUUUAU
rfam:Thermoactinomyces sp. DSM 45891 genome assembly, contig: Ga0066384_103